rnacentral:rRNA from 1 species
GACGAACGCUGGCGGCGUGCUUAACACAUGCAAGUCGAACGGAAAGGCCCUGCUUUUGUGGGGUGCUCGAGUGGCGAACGGGUGAGUAACACGUGAGUAACCUGCCCUUGACUUUGGGAUAACUUCAGGAAACUGGGGCUAAUACCGGAUAGGAGCUCCUGCUGCAUGGUGGGGGUUGGAAAGUUUCGGCGGUUGGGGAUGGACUCGCGGCUUAUCAGCUUGUUGGUGGGGUAGUGGCUUACCAAGGCUUUGACGGGUAGCCGGCCUGAGAGGGUGACCGGCCACAUUGGGACUGAAAUACGGCCCAGACUCCUACGGGAGGGAGCAGUGGGGAAUAGUGCACAAUGGGCGGAAGCCUGAUGCAGCAACGCCGCGUGGGGGAUGACGGCAUUCGGGUUGUAAACCGCUUUCGCCUGUGACGAAGCGUGAGUGACGGUAAUGGGUAAAGAAGCACCGGCUAACUACGUG